UAAGAUCAAAGAUGACUUUGACUGUCAAGCGUGAACGUUGUAUCCGAUACACUGAAUGACUUUAAAAAAGUAGAAUUAUUGAUAAAUUAUAUACCUGUAAAAGUUAAACUAUGAAUAGGGAUAUGACAGACGAAAAUUUUGCACAUGAACAAGGAAUGAUUCAUUUCGAUUUCUGGUAUACAUAUAUUUUGUUUGGUUUUGUAAUUGUGUUCUUUUUUAUACAAAAUCAAAUAAUCAAACGUUAUGGAAAACCAAACACAUCAAUUACAGUGUACGACUCCUGGUUAUGGCGGAACUUAUGCGUAUCACUAACACAUGGAUUUAUUGUUGGUAUUUGGAGCAUUAUAAGCUUCCUUUAUCAUCAUGAAGAUCAUCCGGGGCUUUUUGAAGAUCCCUUUUUAUUUUUCAAUACAUCUUCAUUCUUGAUGAUGAUAGUCUCAACAGCUUAUUUCUAUUAUGAUUCACUAGACAUUUUAGUUAAUAAUAUGUGGAAGAAAAAUAAGGAAGUACUGCUACACCAUUUUCUCAUCUCUACUUCCUUUGUAUAUCUAUGGCAUGAGAGACAUGGAAUUGGAUAUGCACAUUUAUGCCUUCUAGCGGAAUCCAGCAGCUUUUUUCUCCAUGCCAGGAAACUUUUACGAAUAGCUGGAUUAUCAUCGGACUCAUUAAAGUCCCGCAUCCUUUCAAUUAUCAAUGUGAUUGCAUUUCUUAUAUUUCGUUUAAUUCCUCUAGGAUUUUGCGUCACAAGGAUUUAUCCAGAAUAUUUUCUAAUGCGAAGACAUUUUGCGUACUUUAGUUUCCUGUCAUUGUCCGUGAUGAUAAUAUUUUUAAUUAAUGUCGGAUUCUUUAUCAGACUAUUAAAUACAGAUUUUAUACGACGCAAUAAGAAACAAAAAUGACAUAUUAUUAUGUUUGUAUCGGAACCUCGGCCAAUGAUAAUCUAUAUUAAUUACAUACUUUCUUGAUUAAGCUAAAUUCCAUAAUUCAUUCACUUUUAGUCAUAUAUUUUGUAUUUACAAUACUUUAAAAGACACACGUAUGUCUUAAUUGCAAUUUGAAGAUUGGUCCAGAGCAUUUCUGUUGCUUAAUUUUCUGUAAAAGCCUUGCUACCAUUUUAAUAUUACCUACUUUUAACUCCGGCGUAUACAAUCUUUUUGGCAGGGUAGAUCUAGAACAUUCUGGUACUCGGUCAAGUAAGAGCAAUUGAAAGAAAUAAAGUCAACCUUACAAUCUGUAUAAUUUGGUGGAAAAAUAA